rnacentral:tRNA from 1 species
GCCCCCAUAGCUCAGCGGAUAGAGCACAGGAUUCCUAAUCCUGGUUAGCGCAGGUUCAAUUCCUGCUGGGGGCA